ACGUGGGGAGGAGGUGCCCUCCAGGUCCCGCAGGGAGAGAGUGUCCGCUGUAGUAACUGCGCUGCACAGCCCUGGUUGCUUAAUCACUUAAAUGGAUGAGUGAAUGAGUUAUUCUCUGUAGUGCCACGGUACUUUGACACCCAUCGCCUGACUUCUCGCGCUCACACGGAAUGGCAUGUAUCAAUACGAUCGUUCCCAUUUUGUGGUGGAGAAAAUCGAGGCUACAAAAGGCAAAAUGGUUGCUCAGCAUCAUCCAGCCUGACGGGCCCGUGUACAGCCUGAGCUGAAAGGGACGAAGUUUGCGCCCAGGCUUUUAUUUGCAAUAUACGGCCCACCGGGAGUCCCGUUUUCGGUGCUUGGGACACGGGACUCAGCCCUGUGUCCUCUCCAGCUCUCUUGAGGAAAGUGGACACUUAACUACAACCAGUGUGGCAACCACUGACCUGCUGUCUGUCUCUGUGAAUAUUUGCAUUUCCGUACAGUAUGUACUCUGUUUGGCUGGACUUCUUUCCCUCAGCGUAUGUAUUUUGAGAUUCAUCCACGUCCUGUGUAUGUCCGCUGCUGUCACUGCUGAGUAGGACGCCAUUGUGUGGAAGCACCUCGGCUUGUUUUCCCAUGGGAGAGGCAUGGCAAGGGCACUUGCCAGAGUUGGGGCAGAGGCAGGUUCCAGACGCAGCGGUGCUGUCCACGGUCCUGAACUGCGAUUGCCUGCUAGACCAGUCCCACCACCUGUGGUAAAGGGCUUGUUUUGUUUUGCUUUUAGUAAAAUUUCCAAGCCCUCAUGAACUGAUACUUUUGUAAAGCACAAUAAAAAAAAUGG